rnacentral:rRNA from 2 species
GGUUGACCUCGGGAUCAGGUAGGAAUACCCGCUGAACUUAAGCAUAUCAAUAAGCGGAGGAA